CCGGCGGGGUCGUGGGGGUCGUGGGGCAGCAUGGCGGCGUCCAGGAGGCAGGACAGUCGUGCUUUUCCAAGAGAUGCAGGUGUGUAGGCGUGAUGACACAAGUCAUGAAAUAUUUGGCUGGAGAAUCACACAGAAUGAACAUCAUUUCUGACCUCCUCCGUUAUGGUAAGGCUCUCCAGAUGCACAUGUUUGUUGAAAAAGUGCUGAGGAGACUUUUUCCUAAAGUUCCACAUGGCCAAGAAAAGGGGGCACCAAUGACUCUGGCCUCGGAAAUACCCCCUAAGAAAGUGGCGCCUGAGACGGUGACAGGCUGGAGCGCCCCUCCUUUGACAGAUGGCGACGCCAAGACCCAGCCUGGAAGACGGCUCUACACCGUGAGUUUGCCUCCGGAGGGCUACGUUCCCGCUCCGCCAGAGCCACACAGCUGGACAGAGUCCGAGAACUCCGCCAGCAGUGAUGGCACGGGAGAUCAGGAUCCUCAGGAUCAACAAAAGAGAAGAAGAAUUAGAAAACAUAAAUCCAAGAAAAAAUUUAAAAACCCCAGUAACAUUCAUGUAGAACAAGUGGAAUUAGAGAAACAGCAGAGUCUUUUACAAGAAAAAUUGCAGCCACGGCUUGCAGAUGGCCCUACAAUAAGCAAAAAUAAAAAAAGGAAACUGAAAAAGAAGCGGCAGAUUAGAAGGAAGAAGGCAGCUGGCUCCCCAACACAAGCCCCUGGCCUCAGCUUCAUGUACCAGCCGGAGGAGAGCGGCAGUGAGCGGGAGCACGGGAGGGAGUCCGAUGCAGAGGAAGUCCCAGCCGCCAGCGAGGAGGGUGCUACAGAUGACAACGAGGAAGAUGUCAGAGAUGCCAGAGGGGAAGGUGUUAACAGUACCAAUGAAAAGGCAGAUAGUAUCCUAAACUUUUUGAAGUCAACACAAGAAAUUUAUGUUUAUGAUGGUCUCUCCGAGGAUGCGGACCCGGCUGUCUUUAUGGAAACCACUGAGGAGCUACUUAAACGUCUUGAAACUCAUAGCAUGUCUCCCUCGGAUGUGUUCCUUCUGGAUCACAUGAAAACGCUGUUACUUUCGCGAGAUACUGAAAGAUUGAAGAGCGCCGUGGACCUGUUCCCAGAACAUUGCGUGAUGCCGCCCGACCCUGCCCUCCUCCCUCCGUGUCCUUAAGAGAUGUCUGUCCCACUGAGUAGAACCUUCCGGAGGCGACUGAGACAAGAUUUGUUAUUGGUUCUGGAGGCCCGUCAACUUGCGCCUAGCUGCUGUGAAGUGUCCCCAGCUUAACAGAAGCUGCUGAGUGAGCCACGGCCAGGUCUGGUGGGUCCACUGCUCCCCCGGGGCCGCUGCCUCAGAUGUGAAUGAUCCUGACAGAGCAGGGCUUGUCGUAAACCAGCACACCGUCUUCACACAGCUGAGAACAGGUGCAAGCCAGUACCUACAGGAGGCGUCUGGGGGCCACACCUUGAGGUGGGCCCACCGCCUUCACGGAGAUGUCACCCGCCGCCACCUCCCUAAUGCGUAAGUCAGAGGAAGAUAUUGGCAUGCUCAGAGGCCCCAGGGUCACGUCCACUUCACCGCAGGAUGAGGGACCACUGGGCGAGGGGUCAUGUCAAUCUGCAGCUGCCUUUCUGAUACACUGGGUGUAAUCCUCUCUCAAGUGCUUCUCCGUUAAUAACACGUGUUUGUUGAUUGAAAAUAGACUAAAUAUUGACACACUCAUGAUUUUUCUAUUCUGAACAUCAGUUCGAGUCUUUUAAUGAUGACCCACCUCCAGCCUUUCCGUGCCCAGCAGGCAGAUGCGCUGUGGACCGAGGGAAACGGAUGUGCAGAGGACUCGACCCUCAACUUGGCUUUGUCCCAUUCUCAGCACAGAGUCCCUGCAGACUGACUCCUGUGCUCUCCUUGGGUCUCACCUGCGGACGGCUUGUCUGUCCACCCGCUGACCACACCCUAGAAGACAAGGGAGGGGACGUGACUGCACGGGCGGAUGGUCGGGGUUCAUCAGUUUUGCGUUUCACCCCAAUUUCAAAAGAAAAGCUCCUCUUCUGGAAAACGAGCAAACACCAUGUCUCCGACUUGUCAGCAGAGAUGCGAGGGUCAUUUAUCCCUCCUGGCUCAAGGUUGGGAAUAAUUGGGUCACUUUGUAUUUUACAAUAGUGCAAAUUCAGUCCAUCUAAUUUAUUUUCCGUAAACCGUGGCCCACGGUUAAGACAAAGACGGAAACGUGGGAAUGGGUGUUUGCCGCUGGUGUUAAGACGACUGAGCCCAGAGGGACACCUGGGCUCCUCCAGGCCCGUCAGCACUUCUCGGCAGUCCUGACAUCCCUCGUCACAUCCCUGGAGACCCGAGGCAGUGACAGCACGUGCACGCGGGCGUCCCCUGCCCUGCCCGCCCGCCACUGCCGUGUUCCCAGAAUAACUGCCCCGAGUCCACACGCACCCCUCGGCCAGUUCUGGGUUUUUCUUCUCUGUCUGGUUCCUGCUUGCGCCCUGUCUUCCCUGGGGACACAUUCUUCAGAGAAUCUGAUGAAAGCACCAGACCUUCUCCAGAAUAAGAAAUGUGCACUGUCACCCCACCACACACACACGAACGUGGUGGCACCUUUAAAGAGGCUGCAGAUUCCCCCAAACCCGUUCAACGGUGUGUUGACUUUCCGCUUGUGCAUGACAGAUGGCCACACGCCUGUGGAUCCCGUGUCCAUGGAUCAGAGCCAGGCGCAGCCCCACUGGCACUGUGCUCAGGGUCUUGCGGGGCUGCAUGCCCUCUGGAGUUGGGUCACCUUCCGGGCUCUCGUGGCUGUUGGCAGAAUCGGUUCCUGUGGUCAGAGGCUGAGGUCCUGGUUUUCUUUCUGGCUGUCGGCCAGGAUGGCUCAGCUCCUUGAGGCCUCCCGGCCUGGCUCGACUCCUCCAAGGCCAGCGGAGAACCCGGGCAGGCCCAGGCCCUCUGGAGGCUCCCCUGGUAGAGCCAGGCCCCCAGGAUGCUCUCCCUCUGCUUCGUUUACACUGACUGCUUAGGGACGUCAGGAUGUCGCAUCUGCUCACCGCUGCGUGCAGGCCGGCUUGUCUUGCAGUCUCCCAUCCCCUUUCCACCGCACGGCCUCCAGCCCAGGGUUUCACUCUGGCUGAACUUCUCGUCAGGCCAGGGCUUCAGACAUCACCACAGAAACUGAGUUUUCCAAAGUGGAUCGUAGUUUUCGGAGAACACCCCUCACACACAUGCACUUGCACACAUGCAUGGACACACGCACACACAUGAACACGUGCCUGCCUGCACACUCACACACAGCGCAGGCUCCUCGUCUCAGCGGGGCAGUGCCGUGUCUGAUGUGAGCAUGCUUCAGGUCACCCUGUAGACAACGUACAGCGCAGGCUCAGCUCAGCUUCCUUUAAAAAGAACGCACUGCUCACUGCUCUCGGCAGCGGCUCUCUGCAUGUGGUCAUCACGCUGCUCUGGGGCCAGCCACUCAGCCUCACAUCACAGCCUCACCAACACUGGUCUGCGGGGUGGGCAGGUCCACACUUCCCACUGAUGCACCCGGCCAUCCAUCUCCACCCCACUCUUCCGAUCAGGUGGCCCGCAUGUCACACAAUGGGGUCCCACGUCCCCUGGCCUCCGAGGGUCAGGCAGGGCGGACACAAUAGAAGACCAGAGGGAGGGCGAAUGGAGUCAGGCGCACGGCCCUCUGUGGGCACUGCCCAGGGCCAGCUGCUCAAGGGGCUGCUCCAGCCUGGCCCGCAUGGGCCCCGGCCCACCCACCACACUUCAGCAGCUGAAAUGGGCUGUGCUCGGUUGUCCUCAUCGUUCUGCCAGAUCCAGGGCGACACACUCCCCAUGCUGGCGGUCGGAUGCUCUUCAGGAUUUCUCAGAUUGUACAGAACAUAUAUCUGUUUGUUAUAGUACACAUAGGUGCCUGUGUGUGGAUAUAUGCAUUGUAGUACACGUACAUGUUGAUGGAUAGUGCAUUCAUGCAUGAUAGUACACGUGUCCAAUAUGUUGUACUAAAGUAAAUACGUGUCACUAUAUGUGCAUUAUAGUACUCAUAUGUCUAAAUUAUAUGUGUGAUACAGUACAGUGUGAAUUAUAGUACACAUAUCUGUAUAUACACACACACCUAUGUUAGGGUCCAUGUCUGCCUGUGUAUAUGCACAUAUAUUAUAGAACACGUAGAUGUCUGUAUACACACACGUACCAUAGCACACACAGGUGUCUACAUACAUGCACACCUGUGUAUCAGAGCACACUUGGUUGUCUGUGCACGUGUGUGCACAUGGACAUCAGUACGUAUUUUGCAGUGCUCCUAAGCAGAGUUUGAGCCCUGCUCUGAUCAAACCUGUAGCGCCCUGCCUGAACACACGGGCGGUCUGCUCAUGCCCAUGAGUGACACGUGUGCUCGCACAGGCCAGGCGGGCCUCGCCCAGGAUGGCGUCAGCACAGGGGGUGGGGGUGGGGCAUCUGGGUCUUGGGAACCCUUUGAGGUUGGAACUGGGAGGAGCAAGGUGUCUGCCACGGGCUUCCCCAGCGGCCCAGGUGGGUGUCGGCACAGUCCGCGCCCGGUCAGUUGCUGCUGCUGUCGUGCUCUGGAGGCAGAAGAUCUCUGGGGCCAGGCAUCUGUGGUCAUCACUCGACAGGCCUGGCUUCUCCCCAGGCUGCCUGCCGGUCGUCGUCAGGGCCUGGCUCCGCUCACCUCCUUUCCCAAGGGAGAGCCUGCCAGAAGCUUCUCUCUCUCGCAGCCUGCCUGUGUCCUCGGAGGGGAUCCUGAAGCAGCACCAGGACUGCACGUGCAGCUGCUGUGAAAGUGGUGGCUCUUCUUGAACCCAGUCGCUGUUUCUGUGUGUCACGUCUGUUCCCAGGCAUCUCAGGAAGGCCAGGGAAGCCCGAGGCUCCCCCCCUGGAGAUCAGCCCCAGGAAGAUCUCCCCUUCACACUUUACCACCACCAGCCCUGCUGGAAAUGUGCCCGUCCUAAAAUAACAAAGGUUUCCUUAGGGGAUUAGAACAUUCCAGCGUGAACGCAGACUGCAACAAUGGCAGCUGCCAGGAGCCAGCCGUCCAGGCAACUGUCACAGAGCAGCAUCACGCCGUGUCUGCGGACCACGGGGCACCCCGUCCUCGUCCUCACGUGCUCUGCCGUGAAACCCACCUUCUCAUCUCUCGAGGCUCCUGCUGCAAACUGAGACCUUGUCCAAUUUGCACUCGUCUUCACGAUGGAGACGAAGAGGAAGAGGGGAGCUGAUGUUCCCUGAGUGCCAUUCCCGCCAUGUGCAGGCGCAGGGUGAACUCCUCGCACGUGGUGUCUUCCUGUUCUCACAAACUUCCGUCCAGGUGUCAGCACCUGUCACCGUGCCCACUUCGUGGGUGGAGAAAUGUCUGUUUGAUCUGUACCGAGUCACUGUCGCCCACGAGCAAUGACGUUUCAGAGUCCCCACCGCCGAUGUCAACCCUGCCACCAUCCCGGCUCACAGAGGCACACGUCAGACUCACUGGCGGUUUUCUCCUGCUUCUGGCAACAGCCGAUGUCCGUGGCGUAGACUCAGACCCGCGGUGUCAGCUGCCUGGUGACGACACCACGAGGACUGGGCAGAGGGCACACAGCGCCCGUCUGGAGGGCUCCGACCCCAAGGGACGUGCUCGUCUCAGACGCUGUCACCUUUUUCAGUGGCUGGGCAAGGCCCGCACCAUCUGAACUUUCCACGGGGGCACCGAGACCCAAGACCCCCACUCACGAGCUGUUUUCCAGGUUCCCCGGUCUGGACACGGAAGAUACAAAUAGCAUCAAAGACACACUCACAGCUGGCGGGACAGACAGACCUGGGAACAACCGUCCGUCUGAGUAUUGUAAUUCUGGUCGUCUGCCGGCCUGGAGACCCUCCGAGUGAACCUCGAGGACCACAGUGGAAGCCUGCUUACAGAAUAAACGCCCCUUCAGCUCUUGUUACGGAAAAGAUGGUUUUCAUGGCUUUGUUGGCUAAAGAAUGCCUUGGCAAACUGAUGAAAGAAAAAUGAGAACUUCCGGCAUGUGCUCAUUAGUAAAGUUGACUGUGUUUUAAUUAUUCUUCUGAACCUCCUUCCAUGCGAGCAGAAGAGCACAUGCUGUCUGUGCUCCCGGGACUUGAGCCCAUGAGGUGGCCCGUCGGGUGGGAGCGCAGAGACGAGAGGAGCCAUGAGGGGAGCCCAGCAGUUAGGAGCAGGCAGAGGAAGGACGAGCCCACAGAGAACCGGGCGCUGCCCCUCGCUGCCACAUCACGUACACAGACGGCAGCUGAGCCGGGUGCUGCAUCCUCGCCAUCCUGGCGGCUACAGGUCCGGGGUGAGGUCCCAGCAGGGCUGAUGUCUGCUGGGGGUGCUCCUCCUGGCUUCCUGCAUCCUCACGCACUCACCCCGGGGGCUCUGUCGUCUCUCCCCUCCAGGGACUCCAGCUCUGUGACCUCAUUUGACGUAACCUCCUCCCUGGAGACCCAUCCUCAGUCCAGUCCCGGUGGGGUCAGGGCUCCAGCUUCUGAGAGCUGGGUGCACGGUUCCGUCCAUACAGGAGGAGCGACAAUCAGAAGAGGAAGAGAACCGGAGACCGCCGUGCCAGGGACGAGGAUGGAAGGAGUCUGGGGCCAAGGGGAUGAAAAUGAAAACAGUCGUGAGUGUUUGACUGUCUGAUCCGGGGAGGAAACCUGCACAGAAGGAAAGUUUGCUCUGACCGUCCUUGCAGAUCAGAUGGGGAAGGGCUUCAGAAGUUUGAAAACUGACAGCUUUGCCAACAAGGAAACGGGUGCUCCUGUGGCCAGACGGGGACUCGGCACACCACCCGGAAGCAUCGUAAAUACUGAUAGGCACAUACACACAGACCAAGCUACAUGCUCCUCAAUGAUGUCUCAGAGCAUAAGGGGAUCCUGGGACCAGAAGCAUAAGGACUGAUGCUCAGACCCUUCUGCACUAAACUAACCAGACUCCUUGGAGAAACGGCUGAUUCCAGGCGUGGAGCAGGGAAAGCGCGAGGAGGAAGUUUGGAUUGAAGGUUUUUCCAACAAUGGGAAAGUUGUUUUUGAGCAAGUUCCAGUCUGCCAGUAGAAUUCGUGGUGUUUUCUGGUGAAUCACAAGAUGCUGGCGGCUGUGGAAGCUCAUCCUCGUGCUCGGAGGAUGUCGUUGCUCCGUCUGGUCCUCCGCAGGCAUCAGUGUAGCUGGCGUGUCUGUCCCUUUGUUAACACGAUUUGCACAGACGUCCAGCCCAGGGUCAGCUCACCGUCACUGGUUCACUUGGACUCUCCUCUCAUCGCAGAUUCUGGAUUUUCUGGAGACCUGGAACUCAGCAUCCGCCUGGGAAUCGCCGAGCCCACCAUCAUGAGAAAUAAUCACGGGCGCAUCGUGAUGGCUUCUCUGCGGGUGGGGCCCAUGACUCGGAAAAGCUGUGAACCAGAAUCCUCAUAAUAACUCACCUGCCGUGGGGUCAGCACAUAGGAGCUCGAGUGACUCUCGGAGAUGAGAUUAGAUCUCGCCAGAGGGUGGACGGGCUGCCCCUGUUUCCCCACCCACAAACCAGGAUGAUAGCAGCACCGGACAGGCCUUGAGAAGGGUCCAGUGAGAUGGCCAGGUAAGAUGUUGAGGGCUCCGGGCACCUGCCCGCUGACGCUGGGCUGCUUUGCUGCAUUGGGCUGAGCUUCCACUUCAGAGACUCAGAUGCUGGGAAACCAGGCCCGGGGCUGCAUCUCGUUGCCUCCAGGGUACCCAGCACGGUGGAUGCUCCUGGAGCUGCUCGGGAGACAGUCUGCUGAGUGGAUUCAUUGCCUGUGUGGUUAAUAGCACGUACCACAAGUUCCCUGUCACUGCUUUCCUUCUUGAUAAACGGUGUAGAUGUUGGGAUGGGGGCCCAGGCCCCGAAUUGUCUCCUGGUGACCCCCAGCGAAGGAGUGGAAAUGAGGACGACCUGACCCAGGCGUCUGCCUCACCUCGUGGACCCGAGAGAAGUGAGCGUCGUGAGAUACCACUCACACGUUUGGAGUCACACAUUAGUUUCCUCUGAGACGCUGCUCUUAUCUUGGGAUGGAAGCACUCUCCGAAACCAAAUUUGAGUCUGUAUUUCAUUAAAUGUCAAUUUAGGCAAAUUUCUCAAUUUUAAUCUUUGUGAGAGCUGAAGGUUUUUCCCACACUUUCCUUGUCACUCUGAUAUGAUAAUUCUUUUUAAAUGUGUGGAGAAUCACUCUGAAUACCUCAGGUUGCUGCAGGUAGGGAGAAAAAUUCUAAUUUUUUCUCCUUUUAAUUACAGCUUUUGAA